GCGAGUUGAGCGUCUCUAGCUAUGUUGAGACGCGGCAUACGGCUCAGUAACACGUGGCUAACCUACCCUCAGGACGGGGACAAACCCGGGAAACUGGGGCUAAUAUCCGAUAGGCGAGGAAUCCUGGAAUGGGUCCUCACCCAAAGGACAUUGGAAACAUGCUUUCUCUGUCGCCUGGGGAUGGGGCCGCGACCGAUCAGGUUGUUGGUGAGGUAAUGGCUCACCAAGCCUUUAACCGGUACGGGCCGUGAGAGCGGUAGCCCGGAGAUGGGUACUGAGACCAGGACCCAGGCCCUACGGGGCGCAGCAGUCGCGAAAACUCCGCAAUGCACGAAAGUGUGACGGGGCUACCCCGAGUGCCGUCCGCUGAGGAUGGCUUUUCCUUGGUGUAACUAGCCGGGGGAAUAAGGAGAGGGCAAGACCGGUGUCAGCCGCCGCGGUAAUACCAGCUCUCCGAGUGGUAGGGAUGAUUAUUGGGCUUAAAGCGUCCGUAGCCGGCUUAGCAAGUUUCCUGUUAAAUUCAGCGACCUAAUCGUUGAGCCGCGGGAAAUACUACUAGGCUAGGAGGCGGGAGAGGUCGACGGUACUUCUGGGGUAGGGGUGAAAUCCUAUAAUCCCGGGAGGACCACCAGUGGCGAAGGCUGUCGACUAGAACGCGCUCGACGGUGAGGGACGAAAGCUGGGGGAGCGAACCGGAUUAGAUACCCGGGUAGUCCCAGCUGUAAACGAUGCGGGCUAGGUGUUGGGGUGGCUACGUGCCACUUCAGUGCCGCAGGGAAGCCAUUAAGCCCGCCGCCUGGGGAGUACGGCC
rnacentral:rRNA from 1 species